UUUGAAAGAAGUUGAAGCCGCAAGAAUCGUGACGAGCGUGAGGAGUCGUACAUUUUAUAAACAAACGGAGACGACGUUUCAAGUGCCAACUUGUUAUGCGCAGCAGCGGCCAGGAACUGCGCUCCGUGGUGAUGCUACAUCGGUUCGUGCGCACGAAGGAGCGUUCCUUCCCCACUGGUGUUUACUGCUGAAAACGACCACAGCUCCUGCGUUCUCUAUCCAGAGUCCCGGCCCCAGACAUGGCAACAGCUGUGUCCCCCCAGUCCCUUCCACGUUACUGCUUUCAAUUUGUUCCGUGACAUGUAACGGUUGCUGAACCCUUCAUUUCUGAUGCUGACACAUGUUGCCUGGCUCUUGCUUAUCAUAACGUGUUCGUGCGCCGACCGAUCACCUCGACAAUGGAGAGAAAAGACAGGCUAAUUAAAGGAAGGGAGCAGCAGCGGUGACUGUUCUGUAGAGAUGCUAUUAGGCCGAAUGGCCAUGAGGUCACCAGCAGCUGCUCAAGACCACCGAGCUCCUCUAAGGAACACCUGGUGCCUAGCACCCGUCUGCCCAAGCCAAAUUAUCUGGCACGGACAAGACAUGCAUCCAAUGCAUAUAGCCCUGCUAAAUCUUGUUUACAGGACCCGAAGGGGGAAAAAAAGCGUAAGAGCGAAAAAACGUUCAAAAGACAACAGAAGAUGCACCAGCCUUGCAUAUUGCUAAAUGGGCACUUAACUUCGUCUCACCGACACCAUGCAGUGAAGCCAAGCUUAGGGCUCGUGUCAGCCCAUAAGUAAUGAGAGCUGGUUCUGCGUGCUCCUGAGAAAGAGGAGGGCUUAUACAUUGUGUGCUACUAAUCCUUCCGCUAAGCCUCCGUUCAGUCGGCGUCGUGCGAUCAGAGGCAAACAAUGGAGGAGCCCAUCUUCUUGUCUCGCAUGACCCGCCGCUUCAUGGCUGCACUGCAAGGAGUUGGUUAGAUGGAGUACA